rnacentral:rRNA from 1 species
GAAUAUUGCGCAAUGGCCGCAAGGCUGACGCAGCGACGCCGCGUGGAGGAUGAAGGCCUUCGGGUUGUAAACUCCUGUUGCCCGGGACGAACCUCAGGUUUCGACCUGACUGACGGUACCGGGUGAGGAAGCACCGGCUAACUCCGUGCCAGCAGCCGCGGUAAUACGGAGGGUGCGAGCGUUGUCCGGAGUUACGGGGCGUAAAGGGCGCGCAGGCGGCCGGUCGCAUCGGCGGUGAAAGCCCCCCGCUCAACGGGGGAGGGUCCGUCGAGAUGGAUCGGCUGGAGGCAGGGAGAGGGCGGUGGAAUUCCGGGUGUAGUGGUGAAAUGCGUAGAGAUCCGGAGGAACACCAGUGGCGAAGGCGGCCGCCUGGACCUGACCUGACGCUGAGGCGCGAAGGCGUGGGGAGCGAACGG